AGCUCUAACUGAUCAGCAUAACCACGUACUUCCAACUGUUUCGUGUGGUCCUUUGUAAACAAGCUGCAGGAUUUUCUCCAGAAGAUGGAUUAUGCACUUUAUCUUUAGUAAGAGUUCUAAUUCAUCUCCAAGUAACGAGCUCCUUUAAACAUGAAGAAUCUUCAGCUUUUGGCCUUAGGAGAAGUCUUUGAAGUUCCCAUGAGAUCUACUGCCUGACUGAAGGCAGCUACACAGUCCACAUGUUAUUUUGUGGCAUCCUCACUUGUAGACUGUGAAUCAAUGAUGC